GCUGGGCAUGGUGGCGUGUGCCUGUAAUCCCAGCUACUCAGGAGGCUGAGGCAGGAGAAUUGCUUGAACCCGGGAGGUGGAGGUUGCAGUGAGCCAAGAUCGCGCCACUGCACUCCAGCCUUGGUGACAGAGCAAGACUCUGUCUUUA
rnacentral:SRP_RNA from 1 species